CAGUUAGGACCUUAGACCACACACUUUCAGACGUUGACAAAGACCCAGCUUAGCGUAACAAAGCAGAACUGGUAAUUUCAGGGCGCACACUGUGACCCUGUGCUUUGUGCUAAUGACCUCACCAAAUCCUCAUGUUGAUGCUUUGUGGUGUGGCAUUAUUGGCAUUUUACACAUGGGAAAAAAUCUACUCCUGAAGAAAUGAGGACCUCUGAGGAAAGCUACAGAGGGACCUCACAAAGGCUCCACACAGCAUCCGUCUCUGCCACUUACAUUCUGUCAGGUCUGCUGCUACUGUCUAAGAGGUAGAACAACCUGCACAGCAGCCUGAACUUGUUCAAAGAGGCUCCUCCUGUCCCAGGACCCUUGAAAGCUAGCAGAUCUCUGAGUCACUUGGCAUAUGGGCCAAAGAAGAGCACCCAGCACUAGAGACUUCUUCAGGAUUCCAGCACAUACUGAAGACCACUGGAGACGUCCAGGCA